rnacentral:rRNA from 1 species
AUUGAACGCUGGCGGCAUGCUUUACACAUGCAAGUCGAACGGUAACAGGCCGCAAGGUGCUGACGAGUGGCGAACGGGUGAGUAAUGCAUCGGAACGUGCCCAGUCGUGGGGGAUAACGCAGCGAAAGCUGUGCUAAUACCGCAUACGAUCUAUGGAUGAAAGCGGGGGACCGUAAGGCCUCGCGCGAUUGGAGCGGCCGAUGUCAGAUUAGGUAGUUGGUGGGGUAAAGGCUCACCAAGCCAACGAUCUGUAGCUGGUCUGAGAGGACGACCAGACACACGGGGACUGGGACACGGCCCAGACUCCUACGGGAGGCAGCGGUGGGGAAUUUUGGACAAUGGGCGCAAGCCUGAUCCAGCAAUGCCGCGUGCAGGAAGAAGGCCUUCGGGUUGUAAACUGCUUUUGUACGGAACGAAAAGGUUUGGGUUAAUACCCUGGGCCGAUGACGGUACCGUAAGAAUAAGCACCGGCUAACUACGUGCCAGCAGCCGCCGUAA